GCAUAUCAAUAAGCGGAGGAAAAGAAACCAACCGGGAUUACCUCAGUAACGGCGAGUGAAGCGGUAACAGCUCAAAUUUGAAAUCUGGCUCUUGCGGAGUCCGAGUUGUAAUUUGUAGAAGAUGCUUUGGGUUGUGGGUUCGGCCUAAGUUCCUUGGAACAGGACGUCAUAGAGGGUGAGAAUCCCGUAUGUGGCCGAGGCCCGCGCCUAUGUAAAGCUCUUUCAACGAGUCGAGUUGUUUGGGAAUGCAGCUCAAAAUGGGUGGUAAAUUUCAUCUAAAGCUAAAUAUGGGCCAGAGACCGAUAGCGCACAAGUAGAGUGAUCGAAAGAUGAAAAGCACUUUGGAGAGAGAGUUAAACAGUACGUGAAAUUGUUGAAAGGGAAGCGCUUGCAACCAGACUUGGGCGCUGCCGAUCACCUUGAGUUUUCUCGAGUGCACUCGACAGCGCACAGGCCAGCAUCGGUUCGGGUGGCUGGAGAAAGGCCGUAGGAAUGUGGCUCUCUUCGGGGAGUGUUAUAGCCUACGGUGCCAUGCAGCCCAGCCGGACCGAGGACCGCGCCUUCGGGCUAGGAUGCUGGCGUAAUGGUUGUAAGCGACCCGUCUUGAAACACGGACC
rnacentral:rRNA from 1 species